rnacentral:rRNA from 1 species
GACGGAGGAUGCAAGUGUUAUCCGGAAUCCCUGGGCGUAAAGCGUCUGUAGGUGGUUUAAUAAGUCAACUGUUAAAUCUUGAGGCUCAACCUCAAAAUCGCAGUCGAAACUAUUAGGCUAGAGUAUAGUAGGGGUAAAGGGAAUUUCCAGUGGAGCGGUGAAAUGCGUAGAGAUUGGAAAGAACACCGAUGGCGAAGGCACUUUACUGGGCUAUUACUAACACUCAGAGACGAAAGCUAGGGUAGCAAAUGGG